ensembl:lncRNA
GGGGCGCCGGCGCUCCGAGCGGCCCGCCCGGGAUUAUGCAGGCUCUGCGCCGCGGGCCCGGGGAUGCCCAGAGCCGGUGGGUCACUGGUGCGGUAAAUCAGAGCGCGUGAUUAGCUCGUGAGUCCCGGAGACAAGCCGUGGUGAUUAGGCGGCGUUUCGGGAUGCCCGUCCCUGGGAGUGCCUCACUCUGGGAGUCUGGGAGACUCAGACUACCAGGAAUGGGUCCGCAGGCGUGGAGCGGAUCGUGGAGAGGAAGGGCAGCAGAGACCUCAUCUGAGUGGGUGGAGCAACAGAGCUCUUGGCAGCACCAGCACGGGACAAGCACGAGACAUUCGGACUCUGAAGAGGACACGGGACCUCAUUCACUGCAACAACGGCACUUGGCUCAAACUUGCCUAGUCUGAAAUCCAUCAUUGUGCUCCGUUUAAUGAGACAUUUCUCCAGUCAUCAUUACUGCAGAUCAAUAGAAACAAAUCCCUGUCUCCUGACUGGUUUAGAUUUUGGAUCCCUAGUUCUGUGCCAGGAUGCAGCUCUAUGGAAGAGGUCCUUGUUUACGGCAUGUUGCAGUGACACCUGGUGGAAAAGUAUUGGAAGUCUAAGAAAAAUCUGGUUCUUAAAAUGAGCAGAUAAUUUGCAAGACCUACUAGCCCUAAAGACCAAACCUUGAGAGUCCUAGGAUCUCCUGAAGUUCUACCCACAACACAUACUUCUCUGCCUGUGGAAGACAUUACAGCCUACAGCUGCGUGUUGCCAACUCCCUCUUCAGACAUACUGUUCUUGUGAACACUGACAAAGCUUCUUCAACCAGGCUGAGCUGGAUUAGCAAAGAGCUACUCUUUAAGCAAUCAGACUGACCUCGUUUAUUUUGGCUGGAGCUAAGGAGUUUCCUCUUGAGCAGCUUUGCUGGUGGGUUAGAGGGGGGCAGCAGCUGUCUGGAGUGGAGAGGUGGCAAAAUGUUGAAGGACUGACUUCCCUCCCUCCACUGGCAUAGCUGGAAGCGUACAGUCUUACUGUCUGCAAGGAGUUCCCUUGGGCAGCAGUGAGAAAGCCCCUCAGGGCUUUCCAGAGCAAAUGGAUGAAAAGGAAGGAUCCUGUUCCACUAAGCCCUUUCUUCCCCAGGCCAGGUGCUUGGCAGUAUCCCUCAGAUCCCUCCAGCCUGGAUUAUUCCUUACUCCUGCCUCAGUAGAGUUGGCUCCUUUCACCCACCACACUUGAGCACAGCAGCACACGGAACUGUGCUGUGAUCUGACUCAGAGACAACAACUUUGGGUUAAUGCUAGCCAGUUUGUUUCUCUUGUUGCUGGGUUAGCGUUAACCAGAUUCUCAGCCUAGUUCAUUGCAUGAAUGCAUGGACAUUUGCUUGGCAAAUGAGUUGGGUGUGGGAAGGUGGAGAAGCAUUUGAGUAUGAGGGGAUAAUCACAUCGAUGGGAUGUGACAGUUUGAACUGGUCUUUAAAAUGCUAUGUUACUUUUGUGCUUGUGUAUACAUGCAUACAAAACCACACAAAAUGCAUGUACAGAAAUAACAUAGCAUCUAUUUAUACAUACAAAUAUGUGAGCUGGAUUGAUUUCUUAUUCCAGUCCACAGUUACUUUGUGGAUAGCUCUGCUAGUACAAUAGAGAUAUGCACAGGCUGGAAGAUUCAAGUAUCUCAAGCCUGAAUUCCCACUGACUUCUUUAAUACUGCUGUCCAACCUGAUGAAGGACACUUUACCCCUCUCUAAAUCAGAUACAUGGUUUAUCUAUCCACUUUUUUUCCAUCAUACAGGCAUAAAUAUAUUGAAUAGAAUUAAUUAAUAUUUUUAUACUGACUGAUACGACCUGUAGUGUUCUAACAAAGUCACUCAUAAUCAUGAACAAAUGCACUCAGUUGUAGACAUUUGAAAAUGCAUGGCAGUAGGUAGAAGUUAAGAUUAGGGCACUUUUCUCCAUCUUUCCAUUUCCGUGUUGUUUGCAGCACCUGACUGAAAGCAUUGUGCUUAGUUUCCUCUUGACGUUAAUGAUAUUUAUGUAAGGAGAUACGCUGACUUUCAUUGGUCACCCCUUUUGUUUCAGUGGUUUAAUAAGAAACUGUGAAAUAGGUG